UCCAGGGUUUCUUCACCCUCCACCGCAUCACAACAUCUGCCGCCACCACAAGCGCUCGCUUCUCCUCCCCCAUCCCCGCGUGCCAGCCGCUGUGCUCGGCGGACGCGGACAAGCGGCGACGACGGCGGCGGCGGCGGACGCGGACGAGGGAGGCGGCAGCGGUUGAGGGCGUGGUGGACGCGGACGAGGGCGGUGGCAGCAGUUGAGUGCGGUGGCGGUGACGACGACGGCGGACGCGGACAAGGGCGGCAGCGUUGGUCACGGCGAACGCGGACGAGGGUGGCAGCGGCGGAGGUCGCGGACGAGGACGCCGGCCGGCGGUCGAGGGCGGCGAUGGAUGCGGAAGAGGGAGGCGGCAGCGGUCGAGGGCGCGGUGGACGCGGAUGAGGGCGGGCGGCGGUCGCGGACGAGGGUGGCGGCGGCGGCGACGACGACGGUGGACGCGGACAAAGGCAGCAGCGUUGGUCACGGCGAACUUGGAUGAGGGUGGCAACGACGGUCUAGGCAUAUAUGGUACUAAUAUGUUUUGUGAUUUAUCUGUGUUUGCAGCUCUGAUGUGCAGAUGUGUAGCAGAUGACUCUCCGUCGCAUAUCGAGAAUGCCUAUUGCCUGUGAUGCCUUCUAUGUUUCGGUUCUGAGCAGCAUUAAGCCCAUUUUUAUCUGUUUUACUGCUAUGUGUGUUCCUAAUUUUUCUCUUCCAUUUCAUUAAUUAGUUUAUCCACUGUGGGUUCUAAAUAAAAAAUAUGUUAAUUCCCUCUUGACUGACGCCAUGAAUCAAUGACCAGCGUUUAUCUUGCAAACCCAGUUGAACAAAUAAGGAGGCCAGAUUCUACAGAUUCAAACUUAUUGUGUUAAGUUAAGCAACACAACAAGGAUGUUACAGAAAUUCUCAAAUCUAAAAAGAUCAGACUUUGGAAUUGAAGUUUUAAUCUGAAGUACACAUGGGACAUGAUCAGAAAUAGCUCUUGCCAAAGGCUUAACCAAAGUACUUGGAUAGCAGGCAGUCCAAGAAACAGAAGUAAAGAACCAGUCAAGCUGCUCUAAAAGAGGACAAUUCUGCAUAUUACUCCAGGAAUUUGCAAAUCAAACAACCAUUGGACAAAGAGGGACCUAUCAAGAUCAUUACAAGGCCCAUAGAUUGAAACAAGAGUCCAUGACUCAGCAGAGUGCUUUGAAGAAAAAUUAAUGAUCACUGCAGACCUAGUGAUGCAAACAGUAGAAGCAGCAAAUAUAGCCCCAACCCAACAGACCAAGAUUCCACCAGAAGCCCUCACAGAAGGAGAGAAAGAGAGAGAAUCAAAACGUUUUGGAGAUAAUUUCUUAAUAUAAGCAGUAUCAAAACUCUCCUUUUCAGUUUCCUGUAAGCAAAAAACUGAACAUCCACUUUCAUCAAUUGCUUGCCAGACAGGUCUGCAUUCGUCUGCUGAA